UACGAAGGGGGCUAGCGUUGUUCGGAAUCACUGGGCGUAAAGCGCACGUAGGCGGACGUGUCAGUCAGGGGGUGAAAUCCCGGAGCUCAACUUCGGAACUGCCUUUGAUACAGCACGUCUUGAGUCCGGAAGAGGUGGGUGGAAUUCCUGGUGUAGCGGUGAAAUGCGCAGAUAUCAGGAGGAACACCGGUGGCGAAGGCGGGUCUCUGGGCC
rnacentral:rRNA from 1 species